rnacentral:rRNA from 1 species
CAGCAGCCCGAGUGGUGAUCCUUUUUAUUGGGCCUAAAGCGUCCGUAGCCGGACUAGUAAACCCUUGGGUAAAUCGUAUCGCUUAACGGUACGAAUUCUGGGGAGACUGCUAGUCUUGGAACUGGGAGAGGUCGGAGGUACUCCAGGGGUAGGGGUGAAAUCCUGUAAUCCUUGGGGGACCACCAGUGGCGAAGGCGUCCGACUAGAACGGAUUCGACGGUGAGGGACGAAGCCGUGGGUCACAAACCGGAUUAGAUACCCCCGUAGUCC